CCUUGGUAGACAAGAAAACAGAUUUCAGUGUCUCUUCUCCCCCAGCGUCUGUUACACUGAGCUCUUUUUCAACGUGCAAAGGCAGUAUCUUUGCUUUGAGGGCCUCCCUGCUACCCAGUGACCCAAAGCUCUGUGUCAAAAUGGGGCCUCAGAGCUUCCUGUAAGUACCUAACGUUCGAGGAAGCGACACGAGGCUGAAGAGAAGCGGUGUGCUAGCGUCUAGGUCACGUGCACUCUUGCACACGCGAUUCCAGUCAGCCCUUCCGCUUUCCUGGUCACAGAGAACCCACUGUCCCGAGUUCAGGCUUGGGACACCAGUAAGUAAGUUUAGGCCUUCAAAAAACACUAAAGCAACUCUUUAGAAGAGCCAAGGUAAUUUUAAACAUGGUGAAAUUUAAAAAACCAAUUUCCUCUACAAUCAUAUAAUGAACUUUAUAUUAAAGACUGCACUGUGCUCAGCCCUAAGGAAAACGCUGAAUUACGUUAAUCUAGGUACCAAAGCAUGCCUUCAAAUCAAGCAAAAUGCAAUCAAGCGCUGAAAAACAGAACCCCAUCUUUGAUAGAUUACAACAGUCAGUUUUGUUACUUUCACAAGGCCUAAGGAUCACUUUAAAAGGUUAUUCUUUUCAGAAACCUCCCCAUUGGGGGAUGCCCCCCUCCCCGAGGAUUACUGAACUCCUCUGCCAGGCAGGCAAGGCAGUACACGUUUCAAUGAAGCGCACAAACAGCCCUGUACUUAGUAAGGGCGGCACCCGCGGAGCAGACAAGUGAAGCGAGGCGGGCCCUGGGGUCAGAUCUUGACCGGUUUUGUUGAGUGAGUACCAAUGAACAACUGGCAUGCAUCAGUCACCUCUUGAUUUGCUGAGGUCAGGAGCAGCCAAAGACUCUUUUGGUGGCAGAGUAGAGAGAAAAGAAAACAUUCGUAAUUAAAACAGAAAGCCGGCUGAAAGGCAAUAAAGGUAAGUACACAAUACAAUACAAACUGUUCAUCAAGGCCCAGUCAGCCAUGUAUCGUGCCUUUAAGCCAUCCUCUAGGAGAAUUCCAAAUGCUCGAGAAAUGCACGUAGCACAAAUGAAAUGGGGCAGGGGAGGAAGACACUGAUGAACUCUGCCAGGAAAUUCAAACAUGAGUUUACCUCCUUUUCCAUUUUUUCUGGCAAUCUGAACCUGAAGGCACACGAUUUGGUUAGGAAGAAGUCAAGUCUAUAGGCUCUCAUCAAGUGUAACUCGAUAAGGAGCUUCAACGACACCUUCAUGAUACUGAGGCAUCCCGUGCCCCAAUCCAAACACAUCUAACGCUAGAGAAGAGACACUUUGCCAGCCCUCACGUGUACAUUACCUACAGACGAAUUCACAAACCCAGGUGCCCGUGAAUCACUAGAAGAAACUCCCUUCAAAUCGUGCCUGUUCCGAGUGGGACUUACACACUGACAUUGUUCGCCUCUCCCGGGAGGCCUCCGGCUGCACUUACUCCGGUCCCCACCCCCAAAACUCAAGCUCGAAGGCAGCGAAAGAUGUCAAUCCCACCCCAGGCACGGCCACGUGGCCCUGGGCAGGGUGCUUACCCUGGCUAAGCUUCAGGUUUUUAUCUUUGAAAGGGGAGUGGAAAUCCCUUCACUAUGAGGAUUAGCUCGGAGAAUGUAGGUCAAGCCCUAACUCUUAGCUAUUGGCAGGAUUCUGAUGAUUGAAAAGUAGUAAUCACGGUAGAGACAGGGCCACUUCCGUGCUGUUCUAAACAAAACCAAUGCUUCCUAUGCAUUCUACACUGUUCCUGAAAACCCAUUUCAUCAUUUGGAACAAAGAGGAUGGGACUGAUGGCUCUCUUCUAGGAAUUUAAAUCAAAAGCUGAAAUGAACUCAAAAACGAAUCAGCUCGUAUUUUAGGCAAUGCAUACCUAAAGAAUUUUUUUUUUAAGUCUCCUAAAAAUGUAGCCAUUUCUUUUCAAAGAGAAGACAGACAACGUGUUUACUCCACCGGCACUCAAUUCUUGACAUUGAAGCUAGCAUUCAACUUCAAAUACCAUUUCUUAGAUAUGCCAAGAUCUAUUUUUCAAUGAAGGAGAUCUAAUGAAACAACUGUUUUAGGUUCUGCUUUAUAAAACUCCGUCACUACUUUCUACUUCACCAGGUAAAGACACAGCACCUGCUGUCAGGAAGGUGUGUGUAUGAUUCGUGGAUACCACCAAAACCCCCCAUCCGGCCUGCCCCAUCACGUCUGGCACAAAACUAUCCUUCUCAGCUCAGUCCUGAAAACAUCUCCGAGCAAGGAAGAUUCCCCUGUGCUUCAUGCACUCUGGAUCGUCUAUUGCUGCAGUUCUCAGAGUAGGAUCCUUAGGCCAGUAGCAUCAGAAUGAAUGGAGAAUGUGUUAGAAAGGAGAAUUCUCAGGGCCCAACAAUGAGGCUUUUAAACAAGCCCUCUCGGUGAUCAUCACCUCUAGAUGCUCUGAUCUGCAGUUUAAAAACUACUAGCUUGUGCAAGUUACAUGGGAUGACUCAGACUUCAGUGCAUUAAUAAAGGGCAGACUUUAAGUAAUUUUAGGUGGUGAUCAAUGCCCUUUCUUUUGAACAGAGAGAUAAAGCUUCAGAUGAACUUUCACUAAACCAUAUAAUGCAAAUAACUAUUUUCUGCCAUGGAAAAUUCAGACGUAAAGAGUCAGUUUUAGGUAAUUAUAUAAGCUGUGUCUUAGUGGUAUUCCUGCGAAAAGGAUCUAGAAAAAUUCAAGUUGUCAAGAUUUAGGGGUCACUUCUGAUAUCUAUAUAGAUUCACCACGAGGGGCCAAAAGUCACAAAGACAUAACAUACGUAAGAGUAUUUAUGGGCAUAUACACACACCUGCACACACAUACCCAACCCCCUCAAAACCAUGAAUGGUUUUUAAGACACCACAAUGGGCAAAAGCACACUAGUCUAGUAGCGGUCGCUAUACACACAAACACAACACACACACUGUGACUAUACCUUCUUCAUUCACCGUGUCAACUACAGCGUUGACAAGGUGUAUGACAGUCACUAUGGAAGCUUGUAAAAAGGUACAAAAGGAGUAAAUUAGGAAAACCUUCAGUUAGAAAACAAUGCAUUAAAUAGGAUUCCUUGAUAUUACACAAUUUCUACCUCCUAAUGUAAAAACACAAAAUGAAUACUUCAACAGAACACAUAAUUAUGCAUGACUCCUAUGCUCUUGCUGUGACAGAUCUUAGACAUUUUUCUAAUCAGGCUACGUAUUAUUCAUCAAAUAAGGUAACCACAUUAUACCACAAUUGAAGCAAUUUUGUUGCUCUAAGUUUUCUGACUUAGGGAUCUAGUCAUUGACAAAACAAUCCUGAUGUGAACAUCUCAGGGCAAAAGCGUUCAGAUUUAAAUAGUAAAAUACUUGCUAAGCCAAUUUUCUGGGUUUUUUUAAUGAAUUCAUACAUUCCCAGAAAAAUUUAGCAUUACGUAAUACAACAAAAUGUGUAAUAUAAGCACAAAACUGGCUUUAACUCUGUUCUGUGUACGCCCACUCCAAAUUACUUAUCUCUUUUUGCAGACAGGCUAACAGCUGAGGAGCUAACAUACUAGCAGAGAAAUGCAAACUGUCUGCUUGGCUGUUUCCUAGCCCACAAAACCUCUAAAAACAUUUACUGUCGUGGAAAAAAGGCCGAUAUGAAGCGAGCCAAUCAGGAAAGAUCUUUCAGUGAGGCAGGCAUUCCUCCCCAUUUCUGACAAGCUGUUCCUGUCCGCCCGUGAAGGAGGUUUUAACUACGGUCCCCUGCAGGCGUUCAUGCAAGCCGUGCGAGGUCCAGGUCACCAGUGGUCCCGAGUGGAACUUGGCCACAGUCGGGGACUCAACAGGGGCACCUGGCGCACCUACGAGGUUGCACAUACCAGCCCGCGCUGCCAGCCACGGCGUUUCCGAACGACUUACUCACCAUUGUCGUCACACGACUCCGACUGGAAGCUGCUGAGCGACUGCACCUCCGACAGGCUCUCCCGGGCGCUGUACGGAUGCGAAGGCUUCUCCUCCAGAGGUUUCUUGGAGAGACAGGGAUCGAGAUCCACUACUUUAGCUGAAAGCAAGAGAGGACAACAGUGAGCUCCGUGAGGGCAAGGCCUCUGGCGCGGUCACUGCUGAAUGCUGGCUCCAAGCAGGUGGCGCCAGAAGCCCGCCCGACACGGACUUCAUAUGGGAACGACUGGAAAAAGGAGAAGCAUCUGAAAAACAGAACCCCUACACGUAUCCUUGCAGAUUCACAGAACGGAAAUUCCCAAUGAACCCGCUUGUGGAGACCGUUAGUCGACACGGGCAUUAGAACUUCCUUUCAGGGGCGCCUGGGUGUCUCAGCGGGUUCAGCAUCUGACCUCCGUUCAGAUCACGAUCUCACGGUUCGUGAGUCCCAGCCCCACAUCAGGUGAGCACAAGCCCCGCUGCUCUCUCUGCCCCUUGCUGAUUGUGCCCUUUCUCUCAAAACACACACACACAAACCCUUUAAAGAGGUAUAUAGCAUUUUUAAAGCAUCAAAAGACAACUCAGGCCACCACUUUUGACCAUAUUUAAAAAAAUCCUACCAUGCAAAUGCCCUUCCCAAUUUGUCAUAAAAAGCCCUCAGAAUCAUACUUGAGAACCUAUAUCCAUUACAAUAAUGGAAUGCUCUCUUCUGAAUAUUAAUACGAACAGGACUAGACUCAAUUCCUUGAUUAACG